CACUCCUGCGGGAGGCAGCAGUGGGGAAUUUUGGACAAUGGGCGAAAGCCUGAUCCAGCAAUGCCGCGUGCAGGAUGAAGGCCUUCGGGUUGUAAACUGCUUUUGUACGGAACGAAAAAGCUCCUUCUAAUACAGGGGGCCCAUGACGGUACCGUAAGAAUAAGCACCGGCUAACUACGUGCCAGCAGCCGCGGUAAUACGUAGGGUGCGAGCGUUAAUCGGAAUUACUGGGCGUAAAGCGUGCGCAGGCGGUUAUGUAAGACAGAUGUGAAAUCCCCGGGCUCAACCUGGGAACUGCAUUUGUGACUGCAUGGCUAGAGUACGGUAGAGGGGGAUGGAAUUCCGCGUGUAGCAGUGAAAUGCGUAGAUAUGCGGAGGAACACCGAUGGCGAAGGCAAUCCCCUGGACCUGUACUGACGCUCAUGCACGAAAGCGUGGGGAGCAAACAGGAUUAGAUACCCCAGUAGUCCC
rnacentral:rRNA from 1 species